rnacentral:rRNA from 1 species
ACAACUUUCGGCAAUGGAUGUCUUGGCUCUCACAACGAUGAAGAACGCAGCGAAAUGCGAUAUGUCAUGCGAAUUGCAAUAUCUCGUGAAUCAUCCAAAUUUUGAACGCAUGUUGCGCUGUUUGGGAAUUCCUGGCAGCAUGUUUGUCUGAGCGUC